rnacentral:rRNA from 1 species
UACGAAGGGGGCUAGCGUUGCUCGGAAUGACUGGGCGUAAAGGGCGCGUAGGCGGUUUGGUUUGUUAGGUGUGAAAUUCCUGGGCUUAACCUGGGGGCUGCACUUAAUACGGCCAGGCUUGAGUGUGGAAGAGGGUCGUGGAAUUCCCAGUGUAGAGGUGAAAUUCGUAGAUAUUGGGAAGAACACCGGUGGCGAAGGCGGCGACCUGGUCCAUUACUGACGCUGAGGCGC